rnacentral:antisense_RNA from 3 species
CUUCAGCGAUCCCAGCCACAGCGGUUGCCGCGCCGGCCGGUCCCGGCCGUAGGUGGCGAUGAGCGCCUGGGCCUC